ACGAGACGGGAUGGAAUGACCCUUCGGGGGAAUGAAAUCCUAGAAAGUGGCGAACGGGUGAGUAACGCGUGGGUAACCUGCCCUAUGGAAAGGAAUAGCCUCGGGAAACUGGGAGUAAUGCCUUAUAAUAUACGAGAGUCGCAUGGCUUUUGUAUUAAACGCUCCGGUGCCAUAGGAUGGACCCGCGUCCCAUUAGCUAGUUGGUGAGAUAACAGCCCACCAAGGCAACGAUGGGUAACCGGUCUGAGAGGGCGAACGGUCACACUGGAACUGAGACACGGUCCAGACUCCUACGGGAGGCAGCAGUGGGGAAUAUUGCGCAAUGGGGGCAACCCUGACGCAGCAAUAUCGCGUGAGUGAAGAAGGUUUUCGGAUCGUAAAGCUCUGUUAUUGGGGAAGAAAAAAGACGGUACCCAAGAAGAAAGUCCCGGCUAACUACGUGCCAGCAGCCGCGGUAAUACGUAGGGGACAAGCGUUGUCCGGAUUUACUGGGCGUAAAGGGCACGCAGGCGGUUUUUUAAGUCAGAUGUGAAAGGUACCGGCUCAACCGGUGACAUGCAUUUGAAACUGAAAGACUUGAGUAUUGGAGAGGCAAGUGGAAUUCCUAGUGUAGCGGUGA
rnacentral:rRNA from 1 species